rnacentral:rRNA from 1 species
AGCGUAGGCGGACAUUUAAGUCAGGGGUGAAAUCCCGGGGCUCAACCUCGGAAUUGCCUUUGAUACUGGGUGUCUUGAGUAUGAGAGAGGUGUGUGGAACUCCGAGUGUAGAGGUGAAAUUCGUAGAUAUUCGGAAGAACACCAGUGGCGAAGGCGACACACUGGCUCAUUACUGACGCUGAGGCUCGAAAGCGGUGGGGAGCAAACA